rnacentral:piRNA from 1 species
UGACACACUCAUUCGCGUGAUCUUUGAA